GACGAACGCUGGCGGCGUGCUUAAUACAUGCAAGUCGAACGGAAAGGCCCUGCUCUUGUGGGGUGCUCGAGUGGCGAACGCGUGAGUAACACGUGAGUAACCUGCCCUUGACUUUGGGAUAACUUCAGGAAACUGGGGCUAAUACCGCAUAGGAGCUCCUGCUGCACGGUGGGGGUUGGAAAGUUUCGGCGGUUCGGUAUGGACUCGCGGCGUAUCAGCUUGUUGGUGGAGUAGUGGCUUACCAAGGCUUUGACGGGUAGCCGGCCUGAGAGGGUGACCGGCCACAUUGAGACUGAGAUGCGGCCCAGGCUCCUACGGGAGGCAACAGUGGGAAAUAUUGCCCAAUGGGCGGAGGCCUGAUGCAGCAACGCCGCGUGCGGGAUGACGGCCUUCGGGUUGUAGACCGCUUUCGCCUGUAACGAAGCGUGGGUGACGGUAAUGGGUAAAGAAGCCCCGGCUAACUACGUG
rnacentral:rRNA from 1 species